ACUUUAUAAGAUUAUAUAGAUGCUCGUCAAUUAAUGUGUAACGACUCUCUAAAUUUUUCAUUUCAUUUUGCUGAAAACGCAAAGAUAAGCCAAAUAUUGUGAUAAGUCCAAUUCUCAUUUUAUGUAAUAAUUGUUGUUUCGGUGCGCACCCUAGUUUUCUGUCUUUUAUCAAUGUUCCGGCUUGCAUAAAUGAAAGUAAAGAAAAGUUUGCCCGUCCGAGUAAGGUUAGUGAAAUUAAAUUCAUCUUCCGGCAUACGUGAGGUGUGGUGUGAUUCAUUGAGUGGUUAGAUUUCUUCAUCUGACUUCUGAAAGACACUGCAAGUGACUGCAAGCAAUAAUAUUAUUCAGGGAGAAAGUGUUUAAACCAAACAAGCUGAAAGUUGCUCAGUCCUCUUUCACAAAUAGACCUUUUUCACAAUGCGAAAAGUCUGGAUUUUUCAAUCCGGCAACGCAGAAAUCGGCACGUUAGUUCCGAUUAUUUUCUCCCAUGUAAAUUCACAUAAGAAAUCGGGGUCCCUGUAGUUUAAAUUCAAUUUUUAUUUUUGGGUAUGUUAAAUUUAAAAUAUUGUUCAUAGACCGUGUUCCCCGAUGAAUUGGUAACAUUUUCAUGUAUAUAUAAUAUUGCUUCUAAUUUUUAUUCCAACUAGAUUUUUUUUGUUUUUUUGUUGAACUUUCGCUCAAUGCCGAACCACCUGUGAGUAGUGAUGCCCUUGGUGAUGGUGAUCUAGACGAAUCAUCGAAAAGAAAAAUUCCUUGUCCAGGCAAUGCUGCCUUUAACUUUUCGAAAAGGGUGGUACAACAGCGACCGCGAUUGUUCCAAAGACUGUUUGUUGUGGAAUGAAGUCUUGACCUUGCUAACAGGCCAUACGAACCAGGAUAAUAACAACAAAACGUCGCUCCAAGAAUACAUUGAAACUCUGACAUGGUAAGUAGUGGUAAGUAGUUUUCUUUCAAUUUUUUCAAAUUUCGAUAAAUCGCUAACAGUUUUUUUUUUUUCAAAACAGGAGAGUAGGGCCACUUUCUGGGAUUUUGGAAAUACUAGCGUCGGAUACUGUGGUGUGGACCAUUCCAAUAACCAACGUCAAUGGACCAAUUUGCUUGUAUUUUGCGAUCGUCAUGUAAAUCGUAUAUACCGUUCGGCAACUAAGUCAUGCCAAUCAUGCGAUCGUACUUUCAUGACAACGCAAUUUCCACCGAAACCAAGAUUUCUUAAUCUUUCGAAGAAAGAGGAGUGCCAGGACAAGACAUUGGUAUUCUUGUGCGCCCGGAAAUCGAGCGGGAGUGAAAUAAACAAGGAACAUUUCGACAACCUACUCAAGUCACUCAAACAAAGUGAAAGAACCGAGGAAGAUUUGGUAAAUUUAACCGACCUGGGUUACCAGCAAGUAUGGAAGUCGUUGGAAAAUUUGUUGCACGAACGACUGCAACUUCAAGCAUUGCUUCGAGAUACGAGCGAACAAACAAUUCGGAACCUGAUUGGCUACCAAUGACGCUACUGGCCUGGCAAUACUGUUCUGAUUGGAAUGUCUACACCUUCUUGUUUCACAAUUUCCCCAAAUCAUCUGAAAACAUUCAUCGAGGAAAUUUUUGUCCGUGGGAUCCCAAAAGACAGCCUCUUUUUUAUUGUCAUUGCCUAACGCCAAGAAUUGUAAUUCAAGCAAGUAUGAAACAGUUGUGCUGGCCCACGACUUGCUGAUCGCCUGAAAAAAACUUGUUUGUUUUGAUUUAGUUUCUCAUGAGGGCAUCAAAAACAUAGGAAAUUUGAAUUUGAUUAAACUGAUUUGUAAACUACACUUUUGACUUGCUACCAAUAACGCCUUACAAAUUUUAGAACUCGACUUGUAAUUGAAAUUAUAGAAAGUAUUCUCUUGUUUAGUGUACAUAUUUGUAUAUUAAAACGCACUUCACAUUUUCUAGUUUACAUCAAUCAACUUUAGUUAUAUGAAGUGAUCAUCAUUUUGCGAAGGUGAGGAAUGUGAAAUGUAGCGUAUAGUUCUUUCUGUCAA
rnacentral:lncRNA from 1 species